GAUCAGGAGAGUUUGAUCCUGGCUCAGGGUGAACGCUGGCGACAUGCUUAACACAUGCAAGUCAAACGACUUACUAAUUUUUUUAAAAUUAGUGAGAAGUGGCGAACGGGUGAGUAACGCGUAAGAACCAACCUUUUGGACAAGAAUAACUUUUGGAAACGAAAGCUAAAACUUGAUAUAAAAAAUUGUUAAAAAUGCCAAAAGACGGGCUUGCGUCUGAUUAGCUUGUUGGUAAGAUAAAAGCUUACCAAGGCAACGAUCAGUAGCUGGUCUGAGAGGAUGAUCAGCCACAUUGGGACUGAGACACGGCCCAAACCUCUACGGAGGGCAGCAGUGAGGAAUUUUCCGCAAUGGGCGAAAGCCUGACGGAGCAAUGUCGCGUGGAGGACUAAGGCCUAUGGGUCGUAAACUCCUUUUGUCAAAAAAGAAAAAAAUGACGGUAUUUGACGAAUAAGCAUUGGCUAAUUCCGUGCCAGCAGCCGCGGUAAUACGGGAAAUGCAAGCGUUAUCCGGAAUUAUUGGGCGUAAAGCGUUCGAAGGUGGUUUUUGAAGUCGACUGUUAAAGCUCAAAUCUCAAAUUUGAAAAUGCAGUCUUUGAUACUCAAAAACUUGAGUUUGAUAGAGGUAGAGGGAAUUCUCGGUGGAGUGGUGAAAUACGUAGAUAUCGAGAAGAACACCGGUGGCGAAAGCGCUCUACUGGGUCAAUACUGACACUCAUGGACGAAAGCUAAGGUAGCGACUAGGAUUAGAUACCCUACUAGUCUUAGCUGUAAACAAUGAAGACUUAAUUUUGGACAACAGUUCAGAAUUGAAGUUUACGCGUUAAGUCUUCCGCCUGGGGAGUAUGCUCGCAAGGGUGAAACUCAAAGGAAUUGACGGGGGCCCGCACAAGCGGUGGAGCAUGUGGUUUAAUUCGAUGCAACGCGAAAAACCUUACCAGAAUUUGACAUGUCGUGAAUUUUUAUGAAAGUAAGAAGUGCCUUUGGGAGCACGAACACAGGUGGUGCAUGGCUGUCGUCAGCUCGUGUCGUGAGAUGUUGGGUUAAGUCCUGCAACGAGCGCAACCCUUGUCGUUAGUUAACAAAUUUAACGAGACUGCCGGUGAUAAGCUGGAGGAAGGUGAGGAUGACGUCAAGUCAGUAUGCCCCUUAUAUUCUGGGCUACACACGUGCUACAAUGGUCGAUACAAUGAGUGGCUUGCUUGAAAAAGUUGGCUAAUCUCAAAAAACCGAUCUCAGUUCGGAUUGUCGGCUGCAAUUCGCCGACAUGAAGUCGGAAUCGCUAGUAAUCGCCGGUCAGCAAUACGGCGGUGAAUACGUUCUCGGGCCUUGCACACACCGCCCGUCACUCAGGCAAAAUCGAGUGUACCCGAAGUUAAUAGCUUAACUUUUUUAUAAAGAGAGAGUUACCUAAGGUGAAUUUGGUAAUGCCUGAGAAGUCGUAACAAGGUAACCGUACUGGAAGGUGCGGUUGGAUCACCUCAUUA
rnacentral:rRNA from 1 species